rnacentral:rRNA from 1 species
AGGGUUUGAUCCUGGCUCAGGAUGAACGCUGGCGGCGUGCUUAACACAUGCAAGUCGAACGGGAAGCAUUUCAUUGAGGCUUCGGCGGAUUUGGUCUGUUUCUAGUGGCGGACGGGUGAGUAACGCGUGGGUAACCUGCCUUAUACCGGGGGAUAACAGCCAGAAAUGACUGCUAAUACCGCAUAAGCGCACAGAACCGCAUGGUUCGGUGUGAAAAACUCCGGUGGUAUAAGAUGGACCCGCGUUGGGUUAGCUAGUUGGCAGGGCAGCGGCCUACCAAGGCGACGAUCCAUAGCCGGCCUGAGAGGGUGAACGGCCACAUUGGGACUGAGACACGGCCCAG